UACGUAGGGUGCAAGCGUUGUCCGGAAUUAUUGGGCGUAAAGAGCUCGUAGGCGGUCUGUCGCGUCGGGUGUGAAAAUCCAGGGCUUAACCCUGGACCUGCAUUCGAUACGGGCAGACUAGAGUUCGGUAGGGGAGACGUGGAAUUCCUGGUGUAGCGGUGGAAUGCGCAGAUAUCAGGAGGAACACCGGUGGCGAAGGCGGGUCUCUGGGCAGUAACUGACGCUGAGGAGCGAAAGCGUGGGGAGCGAACAGG
rnacentral:rRNA from 1 species